GACCCAGCAACGCCGCGUGAAGGAUGAAAUCCCUCGGGAUGUAAACUUCGCAAGAACGGGAAGAAUAAGUAGGGGACAAUAACCCCUAUGAUGACGGUACCGUUUGUAAGCUCCGGCUAACUCCGUGCCAGCAGCCGCGGUAAUACGGGGGGAGCAAGCGUUGUUCGGAUUUACUGGGCGUAAAGGGCGCGUAGGCGGCCACCGCAAGUCAAUUGUGAAAUCUCCGGGCUUAACUCGGAAAGGUCAACUGAUACUGCGGGGCUAGAGUGCGGAAGGGGCAACUGGAAUUCUUGGUGUAGCGGUGAAAUGCGUAGAUAUCAAGAGGAACACCUGCGGCGAAGGCGGGUUGCUGGGCCGACACUGACGCUGAGGCGCGAAAGCUAGGGGGAGCGAACGGGAUUAGAUACCCCGGUAGUCCUAGCCUUAAACGAUGAAUGCUUGGUGUCUGGGGUUAUAUAGUCCCCGGGUGCCGUCGCUAACGCUUUAAGCAUUCCGCCUGGGGAGUACGGUCGCAAGACUG
rnacentral:rRNA from 1 species